rnacentral:rRNA from 1 species
UACGGGGGGGGCAAGCGUUGUUCGGAAUUACUGGGCGUAAAGGGCGCGUAGGCGGCCUGUUAAGUCGAACGUGAAAUCCCCGGGCUCAACCCGGGAACUGCGUCCGAUACUGGCAGGCUUGAAUCCGGGAGAGGGAUGCGGAAUUCCAGGUGUAGCGGUGAAAUGCGUAGAUAUCUGGAGGAACACCGGUGGCGAAGGCG